UUGACAAUCUUAUCGUGAAGGCAUACUUUCAGGAGUGAGGGUAGAGCGGGGUUUCCCCCGCCCUGGUAGUCUUAGUAUGCUGGGAAGCUUAUGACUAAGAGCACCACGAUGAUGAGUAGCUUCAUCAUGACCCUUUCCUUAUU
rnacentral:sRNA from 1 species